CGUGACUCUCACGGAUCCGGUUCCGCCCUCCCUCUCGUUGCCGACCCUCCGGGUCUAGCGCCCGAGAUCCCUUUCCCAGAGUGCUCUGCGCCGUGAAGAAGCGGCUCCCGGGGACUAGGGGCAUUUUGUGUUGGCUGGAGCCGGAGUAACAAGAUGGCGGCGUCGGCGGAGUGACAGGGGUCCCUCCGGGCGGGAGCCGGCGGCAGUGGUGGCAGCGGUAUCGCCGCCCUAAACCACCGCGCCCCUUUUCCAGCCCGCGACGUCGCCGUAAAAGCGAGCCAGCGGCGGCCGCCCAGAAACAAGUGGCCCAGGCUGGUAACCGCGAGAACCCCCUCAAACAAACUGCGGCCUGGCGAAAAGAAGCCUGAGUGAGCGGCGGUGAUCAGGUUCCCCUCGGCCAAUUCUGGGCCUUGUAACGCCUUGAAAGAGCCACCGUUUUCCGUUUCCUGCCGCCCUCCUCCGCAGCCUUGUUCCGCGGACGAGCCCCAGAGGCCUCCGUCCCCCCCUCAGAGGUGUCGGGGCUUGGCCCCAGCCUCCAUCUUCAUCUCUCAGGAUGGCGAGCAGCAGCGGCUCCAAGGCCGAAUUCAUUGUCGGAGGGAAAUAUAAACUGGUACGGAAGAUCGGGUCUGGCUCCUUCGGGGACAUUUACCUGGCGAUCAACAUUACCAACGGCGAGGAAGUGGCAGUGAAGCUAGAAUCUCAGAAGGCCAGGCAUCCCCAGUUGCUGUACGAGAGCAAACUCUAUAAGAUUCUUCAAGGUGGGGUGGGCAUCCCCCACAUACGGUGGUAUGGUCAGGAAAAAGACUAUAAUGUGCUAGUCAUGGAUCUUCUUGGACCCAGCCUCGAAGACCUCUUCAAUUUCUGUUCAAGAAGGUUCACGAUGAAAACUGUACUUAUGUUAGCUGACCAGAUGAUCAGUAGAAUUGAAUAUGUGCAUACAAAGAAUUUUAUACACAGAGACAUUAAGCCAGAUAACUUCCUAAUGGGUAUUGGGCGUCACUGUAAUAAGUGUUUAGAAUCUCCAGUGGGGAAGAGGAAAAGAAGCAUGACUGUUAGUACUUCUCAGGACCCAUCUUUCUCAGGAUUAAACCAGUUAUUCCUUAUUGAUUUUGGUUUGGCCAAAAAGUACAGAGACAACAGGACAAGGCAACACAUACCAUACAGAGAAGAUAAAAAUCUCACUGGCACUGCCCGAUACGCUAGCAUCAAUGCACAUCUUGGUAUUGAACAGAGUCGCCGAGAUGACAUGGAAUCAUUAGGAUAUGUUUUGAUGUAUUUUAAUAGAACCAGCCUGCCAUGGCAAGGACUAAAGGCUGCAACAAAAAAGCAAAAAUACGAAAAGAUUAGUGAAAAGAAGAUGUCCACUCCUGUUGAAGUUUUAUGUAAGGGGUUUCCUGCAGAAUUUGCCAUGUACUUAAACUAUUGUCGUGGGCUGCGCUUUGAGGAAGCCCCGGAUUACAUGUAUCUGAGGCAGCUAUUCCGCAUUCUUUUCAGGACCCUGAACCACCAAUAUGACUACACAUUUGAUUGGACAAUGUUAAAGCAGAAAGCAGCACAGCAGGCAGCCUCUUCAAGUGGGCAGGGUCAGCAGGCCCAAACCCCCACAGGCAAGCAAACUGACAAAACCAAGAGUAACAUGAAAGGUCUUAAAGAUGAGAAGUUGGAUCCACUGAGUUAGUAUGUUUCCUUGGAAAGAAAUUGUAAUUAAACUUAAGUUUAAUCCUUAAUUUUGUAUUGUAACUAUUUUUCAUAAAAGCAACUUAAAAAUCUUAUAGGAUGUUUGGGGUGCCUAGCUGGCUCAGUCAGAGCAUGCAGCUCUUGAUUUCGGGGUCAUGAGUUUGAGCCCCACAUUGGGGGUAGAGUUUAAUUUUUUAAAAAAGAAAGAAAAGAAAAUCUUGCAAAAUUUUCGUAGCAGUGUUAGACCCAGGGUUUAUACACAUUUUUCAUAAAUACCAACCUGUAAAAUUUUGAAGAAUUGGACUUUGCAGAAAAUGUAACACUUACCAUUGACUACUUUCAGAGAAACAUUUGAAAGUAGUAUAUUUUGAUUUCAAGUGAAAUACUGCUUGCUGCUAAAACGUGCCAUGCCACAGAAUACAAACAACAGAGUUGUAUUUGAUCUUUUCCUUCUUGAAAACAUUUGUUUUGGUUAUAGAGCUUAGUGUCCCAAACAACUAUCACAUGAAACCCCCUAGGUAUGAAGCUAGGAAAAAAGUGUAGCAGGUUUGAGAGUGGCAUGGAAUGAGAAUGGAGAGCCCAUUUCCUUAACUCCAACCCCAAAUCUUUUCUGAGGUCUGUAGUUUGAAGACAGUCACUCUAGAUUACUUACUCCUGAUUUCAGUCUCUAAUUAAUAAGAGUGGUUGAAAGCACAUUCUGUCAAGGUCCAGUAUAGUAGUUUUUUAUUCAAGGAAGAGCUCAUUCAGCUCAGCUAUUUGCUGAUUCCAAGAAAUCUGCUUUCAGUGAUGAUGAUUACACCAUAAUACAUUUUCUAAUUAAAAUUUUUAGAAGAUGCUUUUUAAAUACAUUAUACCAGUUUCCGUUCAUGGUGUUAUAGUCUCAGGUUUUCCACAGAGAAUUGAGUUUCUUAAUGAAUCUCCAGUAAGUAGGGCUAUAUAUUGCAGGAAUAUGUAUUCCUGGAAAAAUCCCCCAAAUGGUGGUGGUGACUAACAUUUAUAUUACUUCUAUUUUUUGAUAAAUUUAUAUCAAAUGUUUCUUCCAUGGAAAAGUGUAGAUUGUUUCAGCAGUUCACUAAGAAUGUCCAAAGACUCUUUAAAGUCUGCCUUAGCUGAGAUGGGCUUGUUAUAUGUAAUAGACUUCUUUGCUAAUUACUUUUCUAAAGACAAGAUCUUUUGAAAUACUCCAUUCCAAAGCCCAUUAAAACUAAGAAACAAGGCAUUUCUUGUAAAGCCUGCUAUGGUCUGUACUAAUCUGAAGUGCUCAUGUGCUGUGAGAUUAUGAUUACUGUUUUCAUACAUACUAAGGAGAAAAAUAAAAGAUUCAUAUCUGAGGCACUUUGAAAUUUAUUUCACUUUUUUCAACUAUAUGUGAUUAUCAGGAGGAGUACUUUUCAAGACAUUAAGAAGUACUAAAGGAAAAAGGAAAUACUUUUAGGACAUUCAGAAUCCAGUUAAAUCCACCAUUUCUUUAGUUGAGGUCAGAGAUGGGGAGAAUUUCGGAAGGUAGUGAAGCCAAGUUGGUUCCUCACAUUUCUUUUCUCAUCAUCUUAAUCCAUCUGUUCACUACUCCAACCAUUGAUAUCAAGUGUAGUUUUAUCAUAAUAUAUAUGGAUGUCAGAUUGCUGAUAGAAGAUAGGAGUAUUUUUCCAUCACAUUUUCCUACCAUGUCCGUGGUCUUCCUUGAAUUGCCUUCCAGUAUUAACUGGGAUUCACCUACCAUUUAUCUCUAGCUUAACUUUUUCUGACUUCACCAAUUGCUGCUAGGAACGUGGCUGGUAACUCAGCAACGUAACCCAAAUCACAGGGGAAGACCUUGAUAUAUCUGGAAACUGAUCUUCUCUGAAUACACUCAGUCUAAAGAAGUGCCAGGGAGCUACAUCUGCUUGCUGAAAUUUUUGUCAGCCUUUUUUCACUGUGGACAGUACAACUGGAGAGGAAAGAGCCCAGUAACCCAACAGGAAGUGAAGAGAAGUGUCCAAGAAUUGAUUUGUGGUGAUCUGAAGCCCACAUCUCCAAGGCUUGCUGGACCUGUCAAAAACUUCAAAUUGUCAGAUUGUCUGGAUGGAUACCACAACAGUUGGAAGACCUAGAAGAGUACAGUUUGUUGCUGUGUCUCAGUGGUGUAUAAUGCAGACCAUCUACCAGUUGGGGAGGACUCAGUUGUAACAGGAACAAAGGGAUCCAUUCCUUAUUUUAACUGUUGUUGCAGUGAAGAUGGGUUUUGGGACUUUUAGAAGCCAGAAGCCAGGAGAGACCACCUAAACCACAAGAUAAAAACAAAGGACUCAUGCACACUGGGAAAAAGAAUACCAGCACUUGAAGAUUAAAUGUUGAAUACCUGCUGAAUGCUCCCAUUGAGAUUUUUCUUAAACUUCAGUAACAUCUUAGGACAGUUCACUGGAGAAACAUUGAUCCCUGGGUGGAGUAUCCUACCAUUGACCAAUCUGAAGAGUUAAAUCUGCGUUUGACUUUCUGCUCUCUUUUAUCGGGAAUAUUUUUAGGCUAGCCUUUAUCUGAUCCCCUAAGCAAUUGUAAUCAUUAAUUGACCCAGGAAUCUCUAAAAUAUCAGAUUAAAAGAUGAACAGUACAAUUCUUAUCUAGAUAUAAUUUUUGUCCCUAUUAAAGAUGAGAGUUUUCUAAUACUUUGACUGACAAUAUAACUUAAGCCUUCUUUUUAGUGACAGUGGUUUCCAUUUUGAAGCUGUUUGGAUAUUCAACAUAGUUAUUAAAUUGCUCAAUAUAAUGUAAUUGCAUAGCUAUGAUAAAUCAUUUUCUAGUUGCGUAAACAUUUUUUGUUAACCAUAUUUAAGAAUAAUUGCGGGACUUAAAUGCUCAUCUGGGCAAGGGUCAUUUCUCUUUAGCUAAUUCAUAGUUUUAAUCUGCUUUAUAAUACUCUCCUAACAUUGGCAUUAGGUUACAGAAUAUGGUCUUACUUUAAAAUUUAAUUCAGGUUUGGUUUGACGGGGUUCUCUUUAUGCUUACCUUGGUACUUCUGUUGAGUGAUAAACACCAAAUAGAUAAUAUUCCUUGUGGCAAAGUACGUUUUUUAGAAAGUUUCACUGUUUUUCAUUUUUGGCAUUUGCUUUAUGAAUUUAGUACUUGGGCAGGCAACAAAGGUCUGUUUUUUACCAACUCCCAUUAGUUAAUGUGGAGAGAGAAAGAAGUGUUUUGAUACUUGUUUGUCCUCAGGUCUUUAGCCCAAUAUAUUUUUAAGUGGAUGAAGAUAACUUUCUGCGCUCAGAUGGAAAAACUUUAAGUUACCAAGUCAGAUAGUAUUAACCAAGAAAUGGUAUAUAAAUGUCUGAUGUUACCUUGGAAGAGAGGGACCUACAUUCAUGCAAAGUAAAUUAUAGAAGCAUAGUAUUUUUAUUUGUCCCACAAAGCCCAUUGGAGAUGGUCCAACAAAUGCUUGAAAAGCACAAAAAAGGGGGAGGUUCACUGAUUAACAAAAACAUGGUGUCAGAGCUGAAGAAGUGAGAGAUCAAAGUGAGCUACAAGGAGCAGUAAUGAGGCAGCUGUAAGAGUUUGCACCAAGAGGGUGCACCAAGGGGCACAGACACCUAGAAGGAUGGCUGUUACAAGAGAGGUGGUACUGAUGGGAUUUUGCAGUUGGUGAGAAGUGGGCAUAUUUCCUUUCUGCCUUUAGCCAUAGAUGGAACUUGUAGGUAAUAGAGAUCAGCAUUUCCUCUAGUAGUCUUUAGCCACAGAUGGAAUAUGGAGCUAUUACCUGAAGCUGUUUUUCUAUUCAAACCUCCCUGGAUGUGGAAGUCUCAGAGUCUAAUUGUGUGGGAGGAGGGUAUCCUUUAUAGGGUGGGAAGGCUUUAGUAAAUAAAGACAAACACACACAUACACACACCGCCCCAAGGCCUUAUUUGUUUAUAUUUUCAAACCGGGACAAAACCUCACCUUUGUAAUGUGAUUGAUGGAAGCAAAGAAUUUUGAAAGGUACAUGGUUUCUGUAUAAAAGUCAUAUACUUACCAGGAUUCUGUUCCAUGGAAUAAUUCGGUUAUAUGUUGCAUACAUUUGUUAUUAAACCUGAUUGUUUCUUACUUCUUUCAGAAACAAUGUGCAGAAAGUUUCCUUCCUGCACUAGUAGAUUAAAACAUUACAUACUUUCUGGUUUUAAGGCAAAGAUAUCUAUUUUUUAUUCAUUUGAUAGAUACUUAAACACAUAGGUACAGGAGAUAAUGGAAGUAAACAAAACAAGCUCAUUGAAAUCACCAGUAAUUCUCUAGCUUGAGAAUACAUGGUGACUGGGAAGACUGAUUCUAUACCCCUCCUAUCUAAAGGCCUCCAGAACAGAAAAGGGAUUUUUGUUAUUUUAAAAAAUUGAGCUCUAGUCAUUUUCAAAUAGAUAAAAAUGUAACAUGAGUCAACCACUCUAAAAUAAUUAUUAGCUCAGUUUCACCCAAUUUCCUAAUUUUGGGUGUAGUUUUU